UACAGAGGUGGCAAGCGUUGUUCGGAAUUAUUGGGCGUAAAGAGCUCGUAGGCGGUGUGUCACGUCGGCCGUGAAAACCUGCAGCUUAACUGUGGGCGUGCGGUCGAUACGGGCAUCACUGGAGUUCGGCAGGGGAGACUGGAAUUCCUGGUGUAGCGGUGAAAUGCGCAGAUAUCAGGAGGAACACCGGUGGCGAAGGCGGGUCUCUGGGCCGGUACUGACGCUGAGGAGCGAAAGCGUGGGGAGCAAACAGG
rnacentral:rRNA from 1 species